AUAUUGGUCAAUGGGGGGAACCCUGAACCAGCGACACCGCGUGAGGGAAGAAGGUUUUCGGAUUGUAAACCUCUGUUGUCGGGGAAGAUAAUGACGGUACCCGAUGAGGAAGCCACGGCUAACUACGUGCCAGCAGCCGCGGUAAUACGGAGGAUGCAAGCGUUAUCCGGAUUUAUUGGGUUUAAAGGGUCCGUAGGCGGGCAUAUAAGUCAGAGGUGAAAUCCGACAGCUUAACUGUCGAACUGCCUUUGAAACUGUAUGUCUUGAGUGAGAUUGAAGCAGCUGGUAUGUGUAGUGUAGCGGUGAAAUGCAUAGAUAUUACACAGAACACCGAUAGCGUAGGCAGGUUGCUAAGUCUUUACUGACGCUGAUGGACGAAAGCGUGGGGAGCAAACA
rnacentral:rRNA from 1 species